rnacentral:rRNA from 1 species
UACGAAGGGGCUAGCGUUGCUCGGAAUCACUGGGCGUAAAGGGUGCGUAGGCGGGUCUUUAAGUCAGGGGUGAAAUCCUGGAGCUCAACUCCAGAACUGCCUUUGAUACUGAAGAUCUUGAGUUCGGGAGAGGUGAGUGGAACUGCGAGUGUAGAGGUGAAAUUCGUAGAUAUUCGCAAGACACCAGUGGCGAAGGCGGCUCACUGGGACGGUACUGACGCUGAGACGCGAAAGCGUGGGGAGCGAACAGG